GCACGGACCCAGGCUUCCCUGCCCGGUCUCUGGCCCAGGCCGGUCGGCUUCAACUCGCGUGUUCCGGCGACUCCACCUCGUUUCCGUAGGAAGAAGCGCCGGGAAAGAUGGCGGCGGCUGCGGUUUGAAUUCCAGCGGCGCCUCAAGAGUCCUAACGAGAGCUGGGUUGGAGGGGGCGGGGACCCGGAAAGCCGGGCGGGUCGCGAGAGCCGGGGGGACCUAGUGGCGCCGCCGCCACAGACCAUUACCGCCGCCGCCGCCUCUCUGUCCACGAUGGCCUCGGCUUUGGAGGAGGACGUCACCCUCUCCGGGACGCUCAGCGGCUGCAGACAGAGGGUGGUGUCCCCAUAUAACAGAUUAAGAGAGACUCAGAAGCAUAACUAAGGCCUGGCACAGUGCCUUUGCACCCUGCUCAUAUUUGGCACAUGGAAGAUUUGUUGUACAAAUGUAUGAAUGACCUUGCUGAAAGUCACCCAGCUACUGAGUAUUAGCCCUGCAACUCGUUUCAAAGCCAGAACUCAGCACCAAGCCUGAAUUCUUAACCACUGUGCUGCAUGC
rnacentral:lncRNA from 1 species